UGAAUUAUAUAAGUGUAAACAAAUCAUCAGCUGAGACUAUUUACCUUAAUAAAUAUAUUCACAAAAGGAUGGCAAAAAUAGGCUGAUAAAGAGAGUACUUCACCUGCACCAAACAUUGUAUACACCCGGGGCAAAACUGACCACUCCAGCUGACUCCUGGGCCGUUCCUGGCGUGCGAUUUGGAUAAAUAAGUAUCACUUUCGGACAGCAAAAGAGAGAUAUGAGAACAGAAAAUUCAGAUAGGCAAUGUACGUACUGUACAUCAGACUGCCACCUCAUCUGUAUUGGUGUCCGAUUCUUGUUCAUCUGUCAGAGACUAAAAACAACAACACAUUAUUAAACUAAAGAUGAUGGCUGGAGCUUCAGAUUUCCCUGUGAGGUGAACAUGAGGCGUGACUGUCUGUUGGCAUUCAGGACCCCCAAACAUUUACGAUCUUCAUGCCGCGACAC